AAGCAUGUCAGAAGGACACUUUUUCGUCAGCUGCUUGUAUCUUUCCCAAGCUUCAUAAAGGGACUCACCAUCUUUUUGUCUGAAGGUCUGAACAUCCAUUCUAAGCUU